rnacentral:rRNA from 1 species
UACAGAGGUGGCAAGCGUUGUUCGGAAUUACUGGGCGUAAAGGGCGCGUAGGCGGCCCUCUAAGUCCCGUGUGAAAGCCCCCGGCUCAACCGGGGAACUGCACGGGAAACUGGAAGGCUUGAGUGUGGCAGAGGGGGGUGGAAUUCCGCGUGUAGCAGUGAAAUGCGUAGAGAUGCGGAGGAACACCGAUGGCGAAGGCAGCCCCCUGGGCCAACACUGACGCUCAGGCACGAAAGCGUGGGGAGCAAACAGG